GUUUGAAGAUUCUUUCCUUCUCCCUUGCCACACUCCAACGUAUGAUUUUAUUAUGCUUUGUCGCGAUUUGGGUAUUUAGGUUUUAGGGUCGCGAAUCCAGGAUUUUGAUUUUGGAGAGACAGACCCCAUGGAUAUCCGGAGGAGAAGGGUCCAAUUUCUGCUUUUUGUCAUCGGAAUCAUCGCUCUCAGUAUCACAGUUGGAGCGUAGAAGAUCACGAAACGUCCAACUUGCUAAAAAGACGAUCAAACGCAUGUCGCUUGAACCACAUCACCUUGGAAUUUGUGUCAAUUGAAGAUAUAACUGGAAAAAAUCAAACAAACGAUUGCGCUGCAACUUUGACAAUACGCACAAAAGAAUCGUUCGAUGAUAACAAAAAAAGGAUGACAAUCGCGAUGCGAAAAAAGAUGUCUCGGGAAUAACUCUGAUUCAUCCGAGAUUGAAAGACAACUACACGAAAGUGCAAGAAAUCCGGUAUAUCUCAACAUUUUCUUCGUACUUCCUGUCUGUCCGGUGAUAAUUACUCGAUCUUGGCGUGGAUCAAUCAUGGGUUUGUCGAAAUGUGUCGUCUUUAGCCAAACUCGUUUCUGGGUAAUGUUAAUUUGUGUCUGGAUCUUGGUUUAAGAGCUUUGUCUGUGUAUAAUCAUUUUUUAUCGUUAAUGAUGAAUUGUUUACUUGUUUCGACUGAAUUAAUAUGCUUUUCCCGAUCUGGGUAGGAAAAGGUGAAGUAACUUUCUUUGUUUGAUGAUCAAAUCAACUUGGAGCUUGUUUGCUGAUUUGAGUAUGUCUAUGUCCAUUUGUUCCCAGAAUUGGUGCUCUUUUCCCUCUUUGGAUUCGUUUUAUUCAGUGC